rnacentral:rRNA from 1 species
AUUGAACGCUGGCGGCAUGCCUUACACAUGCAAGUCGAACGGCAGCGCGGGAGCAAUCCUGGCGGCGAGUGGCGAACGGGUGAGUAAUAUAUCGGAACGUGCCCAGUAGUGGGGGAUAGCCCGGCGAAAGCCGGAUUAAUACCGCAUACGACCUACGGGUGAAAGGGGGGGAUCGCAAGACCUCUCGCUAUUGGAGCGGCCGAUAUCAGAUUAGGUAGUUGGUGGGGUAAAGGCCCACCAAGCCUGCGAUCUGUAGUUGGUCUGAGAGGACGACCAGCCACACUGGGACUGAGACACGGUCCAGACUCCUACGGGAGGCAGCAGUGGGGAAUUUUGGACAAUGGGCGAAAGCCUGAUCCAGCAAUGCCGCGUGCAGGAUGAAGGCCUUCGGGUUGUAAACUGCUUUUGUACGGAACGAAACGGUGAGCUCUAAUACAGUUUGCUAAUGACGGUACCGUAAGAACAAGCACCGGCUAACUACGUGCCAGCCGCCGCAGUAA